UGCUGGACUGAAAUUGGACUUUCAGUAAACUCCUGUCUAUCGGCCUUACCUCUACCAGUUAGGGGCUGUAGUCAUUACCUCUCCAAAGUGUUCAUGUCCUAAUCCUCAGAACACGUUGUUUGAUGAUGAGGGGAAAUUAAAGGUGCAGGUGGAACUAAGGUUGCUAAUCAGCUGACCUUACAAUAAGAAGGUUAACCUGGAUGACACAGGUGGGUCCAACAUAAUCACCAGGGUUCUUAAACGAUGGAAGGAGUCGGAAGAGGCGGUGUCGACUGAGGAAGACCUGACGUCAGAGACGGAAGGGAGCUACAAGCGAGGAAUGUGGGCAGCUUCUAGAGAACGGAAAGGCAAGAACGUGGAUUUUCCCCAGAGCCCGAAAGGAAUGCAGCCCUCCUGACACCUUGACUUUCGGACCUCUGAGUCUCAGAGCUGAAAGGUCAUCAAAAAGGAUGUUCGAUGGGCCAUGGCUGAACCCUUGUGGCCCACUACCAGACACUGCCUUUCCAGCAGACAUAGAUGGAUUCAUUCACCCUCUCACCUGCCAUGAAGACACUGAAUAUACUCACUUCACCCACAUAGGAGCAAACGGAGGCAAGUGGAGGGCCGAGAUAAAAAGUGAAGUAUGGAGGAGCUGUAACCUGGCCUUACCAUGGACUUCACCACUGAUUGUAAACAAGGUAACACUGUCUCUCGUACCCUUAUUUCCCAUCUCUAAAAGAGGACAGCAACAAGCUGGCCCCGGAUUCCCUAGGGAACCAGAAAGCCUGGUAGCAGGUGUGUGUGCCUCAUCUCCGCCCUCCAUACCUAAGCUGCCUAGAAUCACAUCCAGACUCUGGGAGCUGUUGGGUCCCAUGUAGUCUUUUGAAGGAAAAUGAGGCUGUGUGGGCAGGAUGUGGUGUUGCUGUGUGGGGUGAUGGAGAAGGAACCGGACUGGGAGCCAGAGGGCUCACCUUUCUAGUCCUGUCAGUCACACAAUUAAAUAUGGAAGUAGAAGUGGAAGCACCACAAAAAUGAUUAUACAUGUCAAGUGGCAAUGAUAAUUGCAUGCUGUGACUGUCCUUGCAAGGGAUGAUUUGUGGGAUGAGGGAGAAGAUUCUGGAAAAAGGAAAAGCAAAGAGGAUCUGGGAGCAGAGUCUAGCUAUAUUAUUUUAGUCAUUGGUGAUGUUUGCUCUGAAGCAGCGCUUAGGUUUAAACAACCUCAUUUUACAGAUGAGGAUACUCAGACUCUAACAGGUCAAGUGGCUUGCCCAAAGUAAGUAUGGAUCCAGGAUUUGAACCCAGAGCUAUGUGACCCUAAAACUCAUGCUCUUCUCAUGUUGAUGUGCUGCUUUUCAUUGACCUUGACUUGGGUCCCAAGGGGAGUCAGCAUUGCUUAGCUGAGACAAAGUCCUUCCAUGUCGUUUCAGGAAUGUUGGGGGCCUCCUCUUGAGUCCUGAACCUGAGUCCUCCUAGUAAGAUAUGUGGCCACUUUUUGUGAUUCCCUUUUGGGUACCAUUCAUGAUCACUGCUGUUAGCAAUGGUAAUGGCCAAGACACUAGGGAUGGCCCAGGUGUCUUGACAGGCAGGCCAUGCACAACUUGCUAUCCAUACUUGAAGGAAGCUAUAAACAUCCUUGGAAACAAGGUCCCAAACUGGUAAAGCGUGAAGGGAUGAUGGGCUCUUAGGAAGCCAUAAAUCUGUAUCCUUGAGUCUUACCUUUCAAGAGACUUGAAUAUGUUUGACCGAAGACUCUGUAUCCUUGAGUCUCACCUUUCAGGAGACUUGAAUAUGUUUAACCAUACCAAAGGUCCGCAGACCUUAGGCAUGGUUAGCAGAAGCCUAGGGAAAAUUGGCUCUUCUUCAGCAUGGUUCUUGCAGGACAGCACAGUGGUGAGGACUUGAAGUGGAUCACAGGUCAGUGUCUGCUUCAUAAUCACAGAAGAAGCAACAGAAAAGACACCGCAGCAAUACGGACAUCCACGUAAGUGAAAGGUAGGAAGCUGUUGCUCCUCCUGGAUGUGUCUUUGGAUGAACAUCUUGGCAUCAUGUGGAUUUAAAAUGGGAAGCCCCCCUUUGGAUUUCCUUAGCCUCUUAGGUAAGACAUGGGAACCCCUUGUUUCCACGUAAGGCAUCAUUCCAGGUCAUAAGAGGAUGUGAGAGUAAAUGAUCAUUUACCUUUACUCUGCAAAGCAUUUAUUAAAACAUAUUUAAUUUAACUGGCCAAAGGGCACAGUAUUCUCAUGCUGUUCAAUGCCUAUUCUUAGGUAACGGUAGGUUCAAAGACAGCUCUGCAUAUUGUCUUUCACCUACCCAAAUAUCACAGAUAUCAACGCGGAAAAGUGUUUUCCUUUUCCUCCUCAAGAAGGUUGGGGGUUUGGUGUAAAGAACCUAUGCUCAGAAGUAGCAACCAAGAAAUUCUGGAAUUGAAAUCUUUGAACUACUAGUCUGUCGGGUAAUAAACAGAACUGGAUCACAAACGACUGAUUUAUUCUUUGCAAAAUGCAUCCCUCCCUCUGCUGUUCAUCUCCCAAAAAUAAAACCACCCACAGGAUAAAAUGAGUAACUUCCCUAGAGCAAGCAGUGUCACAGACUCCCUUAUUAAAAUAUGUCUGGCAUGAGAGUCUACCAGGAAAUGCCCUCCAAUAGAGGAUUAAUACCAGGAAACUUGGCGUGGUCUUGUGAUACUGGCACGCAAUGCCGCCACCUCCACCACUGGAGCAAAGAUGAACAGCUGGGAAGACUUCUACUUCUGAGUAAUCUGGGCAAACAUGAAAUCAUACUCCACUGGACUUUGGCUUUUAAACCAAGCAAAUAAUAGAAACCUUGCCUUCCUUAUUUAAACAUUCACAUUUAGGUAAUAAUAUAAACUUUUUGCUAGCGGCCUCUUGUCUGCUCAUGGUGGGUGUGGACUUGACAGUAUCUUUCUCAGCUCUUUUAUCUCCCAGACCUCAUUCUGGCCUUCAGCAUGCUCUUUGAUUCUCUCAUGAGUUCAUGACGGCCAAGGAGAGCUUUGGUGUGUCAGGCUGAGGGCUACUUAAGGAAAGGAGCCCACCUGUGCUUUUGGAUAUUCACAGCGCCUAGAACAUCUGGCACUUAGUGGGUAUUCCAAGUUUUGCUGAAUUGGCAUAUUGUAGAAAUUUAACGUAACUCGUCUUUCUUGAUUACCUACUAGGUGUACUCCCCAAAGUUGUCUGGCAAAGCUCUCCAAAGUUGAAAGCUAAGAGACAAAUUGUCCCCCACUUCUUUGAUGACAGGCGCAGCUAAGAAUGUUAUAAUUCUGGACUGAAUUGUCAGCAUUCAGCAUUCCCUUUGUGCUGUCGGAACCUAUAGAGGGUAAAGAAGACCAAAUCUCUCCUCCCAUGAAAGAACUUUCAAAUCCAGAAGUCUGGAAGACCCAGACACUCCAGGUACAGGGCAGGGUGGGGCACCUCAGCAGAUACCGCAGGUACCGGGAAAGCAGUGGAGCUGGGGCAAAGAGGAAGGUGAGGUGGGGAACUGCAAGGACCAAAGCCAGUGGGGCCGGGCUGGCUCAUCCUACUCCACUAUCGGUCCAUUUAAAGGACAGAUUUCCAAUCCAAUCCUAUCUCAAUGAAAUGCUUUCUUAGGUCUGGUUUGUUUUGUUUGUAAAGAAUGAUGUGCUUUUAUACAAGCUCUGCCCGAUGGCUAGCCAUCUGGGCCUUCUAUUUCCCUCUGCACAGAACCUCAUGCCCCACAGGUCAAGGUCUCCCAACCUGAAUGGGAAAAUGGAUGCUCAUGACGUCGACGGAUGGGCAGAUGGACAAAUGAGUGAAUGGAUCCAGGGCCAUCGUCCUUGGAAUGUCCUUGGAUACUCUGAGAUUUUUAAAAUGGAAGCCAAGCAGCCACUGUGCUGGCAGCUGAUUCCUAUCUCUUCUAGAGCCUGUGGAGGCUUUGGAAAGAGGCAGAUGUCCUACAAGGAAGCUGUGGGUUCUCAAUACUUCCUGUGGUUUAAUUCUCUCCACCAAUAACUGCCAGCAGAGCUUUAGACGACAUGCCCCAGGAUUCAGAUCUUUCUCCUGGCUCCAGCCCGCUCUGCCCAUCACCAUGGGAUUCACCCACUUCCAGGCUAAAUCUAUGAAACUGGAACAACACAGCAAACAGCUGAGGGCUAUGGUCACAGCCCACAGACCUGUAUGGAAGAUUUGGUCUUGGCCCAAAUUUUCAAAGCUAAAUGGAUCAGCAAAACACAAGUGCAAAUGCUGGGCCCAUGCUGACAGGGUGUCUUGUGAAAUAUUUCCACAGGAAGCAAACACAGGCAAUUAACUUGGCUCCAACAAUGCAUGUGGUCAAAUAAGAAAGACAACCCUUGCAGAGAGGCUGCACCCACCCCCAGUCCCUGCCUCCAGUGAAUCCAUAAAUCUGGCUGUACUUUCACCCAGGCUACUGAGCACUAAUGUUAAAGCACAUGACCACCACAGAGGUAUACGAGAACCAUCAUGACCAGCUGAGAAAGCCGCCCAGAGUCCCUGAGCCCAAUGGGCCACUCAAAGGGCUGAGAUGUUAACAUCCCCAUUUAUCAGAUGGGCAAACUGAGAAGAGAAAGUUUGAAGAACUUAAAUGUAGAAUUCUAGAAGGAACUCCUAGACUCUUGGCCUUUUUCUAGGGAUGGGCACUUUUCCAGGUCUCAGUGUGACAACCAAUCCCUCAGCACUAACAAUCCAGGGACAGAGUGGUCUGAGCAGAAUCUCAGUCAGCAAGCGAGGCCAUCCUGGCUGGUCAUGGUCUGCUAAGGAUUUUAACCUCCUUUUUAUACCUGGGAACUUCUGAACUUCACCUCCCUUGCCGAGGCAGGCAGCCAGUGCUGGCCAGGAAGGUAAGGCAGUGUGAGUCUUUUGGCACCUGCUGACCUCUGCUCUGCAACACUCAAUCCUGAUAUAGAAACAUUCACAAUUCAGAUUGCUGUGCUGCCAUGGCUGGGUCAAAACAAAGUCUCCUCUAACCUAUUCUCUGAUAUCCAUCAUGCCCAAUCCUCCAUCCUGUAGAUUUCUGGAUUUCUUGAAGCAUUUCAAUAAUUUUCAUGACAUACUAUUUAGUACAGGGCCUGUGAUUCAAAUGGCUGAAGAAAACGAAAGGAAAAAUUAUAUUUUGUGAAAAAUUAUAUGAAACUGGAUUUCACUGUUCAUAAAUAAACACAGCCGUAGGUCCUCAUUUAUGCUGUUUACAUUGCUGUGUUGCUGCAUUGUAGCUGCUUUUGUAUGGUAGAAUUGAAUUGUUGUGACAUAGACCAUAGGACUCACAAAGCCUGCAAUGUCUACUGUCUGGCUCUUUUUAGAAAAAGUUUAGUUUUUUAACUGACCCCUGGUUUUAGGUAAAAGGCAGGUUACAGGAUCACCCUAUUUGUAAAAUCCCCUGUUGUGGAAUGAUGUUGUGUCUCCCUAAAUUUCAUAUUGUGGAAGCCCUGAUGCCCAGUGUGGUGGUAUUUGGAGGUGGGUCUUUUGGGAGGUAAUUAGCUUUAGAUGAAGUCAUGAUAGAGGUGCUUAUGAUGGCAUUAGUGUUCUCAUAAGAAGAGGAAGAGAGACCAGAGUGCAUAUCCCGCUAUAAGGACACAGCAAGAAG